AUUGAACGCUGGCGGCAGGCCUAACACAUGCAAGUCGAACGAGUGGCGGACUGGUGAGUAAUGUCUGGGAAACUGCCUGAUGGAGGGGGAUAACUACUGUAAACGGUAGCUAAUACCGCAUACCCUCGUUUGUGCCCAGAUUGUAUUAGCUAGUCGGUGGGGUAAAGGCUCACCUAGGCGACGAUCCCUAGCCGGUCUGAGAGGAUGAUCAGCCACACUGGAACUGAGACACGGUCCAGACUCCUACGGGAGGCAGCAGUGGGGAAUAUUGCACAAUGGGCGCAAGCCUGACGCAGCCAUGCCGCGUGUAUGAAGAAGGCCUUCGGGUCGUAAAGUACUUUCAGUGGGGAGGCGUUACCCGCAGAAGAAGCAACGGCUAACUCCGUGCCAGCAGCCGCGGUAAUAC
rnacentral:rRNA from 1 species